rnacentral:rRNA from 1 species
GACGAACGCUGGCGGCGUGCUUAACACAUGCAAGUCGAACGAAGUGGCGAACGGGUGUGUAAUACGUGGGUAACCUGCCCUCCUUUUUGAGAUAAGCCUUGCUAACGCGGUCUAAUACCGAAUAAAGGGGGAGGGGCUCGCGGCCUAUCAGCGUGUUGGUGGGCUGAUGGCCUACCAAGGCGGUGACGGGUAGCCGGCCUGACAGGGUGACGGGAAACAUUGGGAGUGAGAUACGGCGCAGACUGCUACGGGGGGGAGCAGUGGGAGAACUUGCGCAAUGGGAGAAAGGCUGAUGCAGGGACGCGGCGAGGGGGAUGAAGGCUUGCAGGUUGUAAACCUCUUACGAAAACGAAAGGGUAGGUGGAGAAGAAGCGCCGGCUAACUACGUGCCAGCCGCCGCGGUAAUUC